rnacentral:rRNA from 1 species
GGASGGUGCAAGCGUUAAUCGGAAUUACUGGGCGUAAAGCGCACGCAGGCGGUUGGAUAAGUUAGAUGUGAAAGCCCCGGGCUCAACCUGGGAAUUACAUUUAAAACUGUCCAGCUAGAGUCUUGUAGAGGGGGGUAGAAUUCCAGGUGUAGCGGUGAAAUGCGUAGAGAUCUGGAGGAAUACCGGUGGCGAAGGCGGCCCCCUGGACAAAGACUGACGCUCAGGUGCGAAAGCGUGGGGAGCAAACAGGAUUAGAUACCCUGGUAGUCCACGCCGUAAACGAUGUCGAUUUGGAGGCUGUGUCCUUGAGACGUGGCUUCCGGAGCUAACGCGUUAAAUCGACCGCCUGGGGAGUACGGCCGCAAGGUUA